UAAGGAAUAUUGGGCAAUGGACGCAAGUCUGACCCAGCCAUGCCGCGUGAAGGAAGACGGCCCUAUGGGUUGUAAACUUCUUUUCUCAGGGGGUAAACUUCGGAACGUGUUCCGGACUGAAAGUACCUGAGGAAUAAGCAUCGGCUAACUCCGUGCCAGCAGCCGCGGUAAUACGGAGGAUGCGAGCGUUAUCCGGAUUCAUUGGGUUUAAAGGGUGCGCAGGCGGAUAUAUAAGUCGGAGGUGAAAUUCUGAUGCUCAACAUCAGCCGUGCCUUCGAUACUGUAUAUCUAGAGUCAAGUUGGAGUAGGCGGAAUGUGUUGCGUAGCGGUGAAAUGCUUAGAUAUAACACAGAACACCGAUCGCGAAGGCAGCUUACUAAACUUUGACUGACGCUCAUGCACGAAAGCGUGGGGAUCAAACAG
rnacentral:rRNA from 1 species